GAUGAACGCUGGCGGCGUGCCUAAUACAUGCAAGUCGAGCGAAUGGAUUAAGAGCUUGCUCUUAUGAAGUUAGCGGCGGACGGGUGAGUAACACGUGGGUAACCUGCCCAUAAGACUGGGAUAACUCCGGGAAACCGGGGCUAAUACCGGAUAACAUUUUGAACCGCAUGGUUCGAAAUUGAAAGGCGGCUUCGGCUGUCACUUAUGGAUGGACCCGCGUCGCAUUAGCUAGUUGGUGAGGUAAAGGCUCACCAAGGCAACGAUGCGUAGCCGGACUGAUAGGGUGAUCGGCCACACUUGGACUGAGACACGGCCCAGUCUCCUACGGGAGGCAGCAGUAGGGAAUCUUCCGCAAUGGACGAAAGUCUAACUGAGCAACGCCGCGUGAGUGAUGAAGGCUUUCGGGUCGUAAAACUCUGUUGUUAGGGAAGAACAAGUGCUAGUUGAAUAAGCUGGCACCUUGACGGUACCUAACCAGAAAGCCACGGCUAACUACGUGCCAGCCGCCGCGGUAA
rnacentral:rRNA from 1 species